UGACCUUUUUGGGAAAACAGAUGAGUCUUUCAGAGGCACUGAUUUCUUUUGGGCUUCUGCCCUUAGAUGAUGGAAGAGGAAGAUGGCUGUGUAGUAGCUGGUGGAGAAGAUGGCAAGGCUUAAGAUGGAGAAGACAGCCUGGUUUCUUACUUCUUUCUAACCUCAUGGACUGUAUAUAAAUCGUAUGGGGAGGAAGGGUGCAAGAAAAUCUGAAGAAGGUAAGGAGAAGUGAAUGCCAUAGGAAGAGAAUAAAGAGGAUAUGAUAUAAGGAAGAUUUCUGUUUUACGAUAAAGGAAUGGAAAGUCAUCUGAAUUCUGAGGGGAUCCUGAAUUUCUCAUCUAUCUGGAUUCUGGAGAUGGGAACUACGGAGAGAACUGGCGGACCAGAAGAAGUCUGAGGCUGGGAUGAGAAAGCCACAGAUUACUUCAAACUGUAGGCUAUGGAAAAAAUGACAGAAUGCAUCCUAGGGGCUAGCACGGUGUCUAAAGAACCAGGAAAGACCCUUAGCUAACAACUACCUGGGACAACCAGG